CAGCCGCCGCGGUAAUACGGAGGGUGCAAGCGUUAAUCGGAAUUACUGGGCGUAAAGCGCACGCAGGCGGUCUGACAAGUCAGAUGUGAAAUCUCCGGGCUUAACCUGGGAACUGCAUUUGAAACUGUCAGGCUGGAGUCUUGUAGAGGGGGGUGGAAUUCCAGGUGUAGCGGUGAAAUGCGUAGAGAUCUGGAGGAAUACCGGUGGCGAAGGCGGCCCCCUGGACAAAGACUGACGCUCAGGUGCGAAAGCGUGGGGAGCAAACAGGAUUAGAUACCCGGGUAGUCCCUGUCUCUUAUAC
rnacentral:rRNA from 1 species